rnacentral:rRNA from 1 species
UGGGGAAUAUUGGACAAUGGGGGCAACCCUGAUCCAGCCAUGCCGCGUGUGUGAAGAAGGCCUUCGGGUUGUAAAGCACUUUAAGCAGGGAGGAAGGCUCGCAACUUAAUACGUUGCGGGAGUGACGUUACCUGCAGAAUAAGCACCGGCAAACUCCGUGCCAGCAGCCGCGGUAAUACGGAGGGUGCGAGCGUUGAUCGGAAUUACUGGGCGUAAAGCGCACGUAGGCGGUUCGUUAAGUCGGAUGUGAAAUCCCUGGGCUCAACCUGGGAGCUGCAUUCGAUACUGACGGGCUUGAGUACGAGAGAGGGGGGUGGAAUUCCAGGUGUAGCGGUGAAAUGCGUAGAUAUCUGGAGGAACAUCAGUGGCGAAGGCGGCCCCCUGGCUCGAUACUGACGCU